UACGAAGGGGGCUAGCGUUGCUCGGAAUCACUGGGCGUAAAGCGCACGUAGGCGGAUCUUUAAGUCAGGGGUGAGAUCCCAAGGCUCAACCUUGGAACUGCCUUUGAUACUGAGGAUCUUGAGUUCGGGAGAGGUGAGUGGAACUGCGAGUGUAGAGGUGAAAUUCGUAGAUAUUCGCAAGAACACCAGUGGCGAAGGCGGCUCACUGGCCCGAUACUGACGCUGAGGCACGAAAGCGUGGGGAGCAAACAGG
rnacentral:rRNA from 1 species